rnacentral:rRNA from 1 species
GGGUCAGUAGGUUGGUCGUGCCACCGGUACGUACUGGUCUCACUGAUUCCUCCUUCCUGAAGAACCGUAAUGCCAUUAAUUUGGUGUUGCGGGGAAACAGGACUGUUACUUUGAAAAAAUUAGAGUGUUUAAAGCAAGCUAACGCUUGAAUACAUAAGCAUGGAAUAAUGAAAUAGGACGAUCGAUCCUAUUUUGUUGGUUUCUAGGAUUGACGUA